UUAACUGCGAAGUUGGGUCUGGAGGGCGUAGCGCCGUGAAUACCUACAACGGCUGGGAUGGCGCUAGCAAAACUGCGAGCUGAUGAACAAAAACAUCAUAUGAGGCGUAGGCUGGAGGCGAGUUGGCACAAGACGACGAAGCCAUGUGAUCUAACGGCCACCGUAAAUGAUGCAGUUGCGCAGGGAAAGUUCAUGUC
rfam:Oleispira antarctica strain RB-8, complete genome sequence.